rnacentral:snRNA from 1 species
AUCGCUUCUCGGCCUUUUGGCUCAGAUCAAGUGUAGUAUCUGUUCUUAUCAGUUUAAUAUCUGAUACGUCCCCCAUCGGGGCUACAUAUUAAAUGGAUUUUUCGAACAGGGAGUCGGAAUGGGCUUGCUCCGUCCGCUCCACGCAUCGACCCGGUAUUGCAGUACCUCCGGGAACGGUGCAACACUU